rnacentral:lncRNA from 1 species
ACUGUUUGAAAGUCUGAACAUUUCCUCUUUUUUUAUUUAACAAAAUUUAUAUACCACUUUUAUAAUUUAUAUACAAAUUAUUAGGAGAGUAAGUUAAAAAUAUACUGUAGUUUAUUCACUUAUAGGCUAGUUUACAUACUUUAUUCCUUCUUAUACUUCUACCCCACCUUUCCCCCACAGAGCAUACACACUUCAGCCUCUGCCUUCUCCAUUUUAUCCUGACAGCAAUAUUGUGAGCUAGGGCCAUAGCUCAGUGGUAGAACAACUGCUUAGCAUGCAGAAGGCAUCAGGUUCAGUCCCCAGCAUCUCCUGGUGGGACUGGGAGAGAUCCUCUGGGCUGUUGGGUGGUGGCCAGGUGCCUUCCCAGCUCAAUCAAGGUCAUGGGGUGUGUGUUUUGGCUCCUCUGAUAGACGCACCAGGCACCCCCGAUUCCUCUCUGCUGGCGGUGCUGGUGGCAGCAGUCCUGGGAGCCCGGGAGUCAGCCAGACAGAGCCGUUUACUCUGGCUGGCUUCAGGAGCUGUUUUGUGCCGUUGCAGCCACCAUGAUGCCUCCAUAAAAAUCGUUUUUUUAAAACAACAACAGCACCACAAUUCCUGGUGGAAAGUAUUGUACAGGACACCAUUUGCAACUAAAAAAGACAUAAAAUAGAGUAGUGAAGAAUAAUUGUGAAUUCUACUGAACAUUCUUAACCAUAUCUGUUAAGAAAUAUAUAUCGGUUAAAAGGUAAAGGGACCCCUGACCAUUAGGUCCAUUCGUGGCCGACUCUGGGAUUGCGGUGCUCAUCUCGCUUUAUUGGCCGAAGGAGCCGGCGUACAGCUUCCGGGUCCUGUGGCCAGCAUGACUAAGCCACUUCUGGCGAACCAGAGCAGCGCACGGAAACGCUGUUUACCUUCCCGCUGGAGCGGUACCUAUUUAUCUACUUGCACUUUGACGUGCUUUCGAACUGCUGUCGGUUACUGAGGCUUAAAUGUUUCAUUUAUUGAAUUGCUGAGGUUUCUGGUGAAAAGAUAGCAAUGCCAUUUAUUUUCUUUAAACACAGGACUCUGUUGAUGAUGGCUAUAUGACUAAAACACACUUUCAAGUGAAGGGUGGAAGUGUCACAGGAGACAUAGAGGAUAUGGGUAGUGAGUGUGAUGAAAUAACCUUUGCACAUAUUGGGGUAAGUACAACCUACAAAAUUAGACAAUAGGUACCUAUUUUAUUGAAAACAGUUUGAUAUUUUGCUGUUGAGCUCUGCGACAGUUCAGCAACUGCAUUAUCAGCAAAUUGCAUAAUCUUUGUUGAAGUAUAUUUGCACUUUGAAGAGAGUCUAGAACUAGUUACACAAGAAGAGAUAUACACACAUUGGAAGGGUUGCUGUUUAUAUCUGAUAAGUCAGGUUCACGGCUAGUUCUGAAAAGUGAGUUGCUUCUGUUCUGCUUCUUGGUGGUCCUGUGUACUUGUGUGUGCUUACAGUUAAGUGUAACCUGCAGCUUUGUGCUAGCCUGCACAAUUCAAGUAGAUGUUGAUUCUCAAGAAGGUGGUGGGAAGUACAGCAGCAGCCUGUGGGGUGGGGUAGAGCUUAGAGCUGCCCUCUUGACUGCUGCUGCCACUCCCCUCCACCCCAGCCCUAUUAAAGUAAGCUGCAGUGACAGUCAGGGUGGAUUUGAUUUAAAUCAAAUCGAUUUAAAUCACUACUCAGUAAGACUUGAUUUAAAUCACUAGUCAGUAAGAUUUGAUUUAAAUCAUUUUUUUUGCAGAAAGAUUCAUUCUUGCUGGUAUAAUCUUAAUAUUUACAACCAGAUGAAGGUUUCAUUUUUGGAAUAAUAAAUUUUCAGAGUACCGAAUUUUUCGCUCCAUAAGACGCACUUUUCCCCUCUUAAAAUCUAAGGGGAAAUGUCUGUGCGUCUUAUGGAGCAAAUGUAUGGUCCAUGGGGCUGGGGAGGGGGGAACCCGGGCUUUCCCCGCCGGCCCCGACCUGCUCUUUGAGGCUGGCAGUGCGCUCCCCCCCCACACCGCCAGCCCCACAAGCUGGGGAGCAGCGGGAAGGCUGUGCGCAGCCUUUCCACUGCUCCCUGACCUGCUCUUUGGGGCUGGCGGGCUUCCCCUUGCCAGCCCCAAAGAGCAGGUUGAAAGGAACCCGAAGCCUCCGGAGCACAGCAGGAACUCCCGCUGUGCUCCGGAGGCUUCGGGUUGCCUUCACUGAAGGCGACUGAACGCACCUUGAACACAAAUGGAAGGGGCUUCGUUUCUCCUGCUGCUCCGCUGAAGGGGCGCUGCACAGAGAGGGGGAGAUUUUUUUUUCUUGUUCUCCCCCUCUAAAAUAAGGUGCGUCCUAUGGUUGGGUGCGUCCUAUAGAGUGAAAAAUACGACACAUAGGCUGAAGGCACCUAAUGCAGCUAAACAGGACUAGUUCUGUUCUGAUGGGAUACCACUAAGGGAAACUGUCUUGAGUUCCUUAUGGGAAAAGCAGGAUGCAAAUGGAAUUAAUAUCCAUUAUCAAGCACCUGGGUCUGCCCAGUGCUGAAGACAGGAACUGAACUCCUUUUCACACCUGCCUGGGGGACUUAUGUUCAAGUAAGCAUGCCCUGGAUUGGUAUCGGAACUAAGGCUGGUCUGCUUAUGCAUCAAAAACCAAAGAUGAAUGCUAAAGUGACGCUCAUAAACUUUGUUAAGUACAUCAUAAAAAAUCAGAAGCCAAUUAUAGAACGACAUCGAGUGAACAUGUUUGCUAUUCCUGCUAUUAGCAGGAGAGUAUCAGUUGCACAUGCUCCCUGCGCCUCCAUCCAGGCAAAAGUGAAUCCCCAGAUACACAUUUGUUCCAGUUGAAAUUGGAGAGGCGGCUGGGAUUCCACCAGCAUCACAUUUCUCUUUGGCUCAAGAACCAGAGCAUGUGCCCGUCUCAGAUCAGAACUCUUGGGAUAUUUGGCAGGAAAUCCUAUCAAGUUCACAAGGUUGGUGUUUUUGUUUUUUAAAUCUUUACUGGUUUAAACUCUCUGACUCCUGAAUUACCGGGGGGAGGAAUCCAUAAUUUCAUUUUGAAAACAGAACUGGAUUAUCGGGAAGCCAUUAUGGAGUGUUUUUGCUCAUUUCUCAUGUAGCCCACGGCUAGGAGCCUAGUCUCCUUAGAUCACAAACAGAAUAAUGCUUCAAGCAGAAUGAAGAGCCGCUUGCCUACAAAUACCGUUUCCCAAAAUGAUUGACAGCCGAGGGAACAUUGCCACUCCUCAGAAUUAAAACUGGAAAUCUGAGCGACGUGUAAAAGACUUAGCUUUAGAGUGCAGUGAGAGUCAAAAACACUCGCCAAAGGAGCAAAGGCUCUGUGUCUCUGUGCAAGUUGCUGCUCUGGGUGUGCCUUCUCAUUGGGAAAAGGCGAGUCCAUAGCAGUGGCUUCUGACAGGCUGCAACUGGAAGACUCCUCUGACAGAAGGGAAUUCAAGUGAUGAAAUGUUCCAAUCACAUCUGAUGGACAAGAUGAGGCAGUGACAACGGCCCCUGCUCAAGGCUGAUAGGAAAGCGGCAACGUCAGAGCAGUGAAACACGGGAGGGAGCUGGAUUUGCUUAUUUAGGGAAUUUAUAUAGUGUGACAAUGCCACCGCGAUCUCCAAACAGUGCAAGAUUCCAGGGGUCAAGGCACUAGCCCAGGGUUUGUGUUUCCUUUUGUUAAUGAGGCCCAGCGAAGAUUGCAGUGUCUUUAUGAUAUAUGGUUUAUUUACACGUACCUACAACCUGAGCCUAUGAUGCAGAGGUUCAAAGCAUUAAUACUCCGAAAGGUUCUCCCAUAGCUGUAGCCUUGGGCUCAGACAGACCCCAGCCAUGUCUCUGACUCUCUGCAUUUAACAGACUGAAACCUCUUUCCCCUAGGUUACAUCACCACCACUGCAAUACUAAACUGUGUUGCGCCCGGCACACCAUAUCUGCUUUCUUACUGGCUCGUCACCUUGCCUUUGUUAAGUUAAUGACUCAUACUCAUUAUCAGGCUGGCCUGGAUCCAAGGAUUGAGGGGGCUGAAUUAAAUUCUAAUCCUAUACUGCAGUGGAUUUUCCCCACCGACGCCCAUGUUGGGCUAAAGAUUCCUGUGUUGCUGGGGGGGGGGGGUUGGGCUAAAUGACCCUCAUGGCCCCUUCCAGCUCUACAGUUCUAUGAUCCUAACCUCACAGUGGCCAAAGACUCCUGAGAACUUAGGAACCCAGAUAGACAGCCUCUGGACCUGGAGGUUCCACAAGGACACCGGGAAAGCCUGGCUGCUGGAUCAAGCCAAAGGGGGCCCCAUCUAGUCCUGGUAGCUCAGUUGGUAGAGCAGGAGUCUUUUAAUCUCAGGGUUGUGGGUUCAAGCCCCAAGUUGGGCAAAAUAUUCCUGCAUUGCCAGGGUUUAGACUAGAUUAACCUUGUGGUCCCUUCCAACUCUGCAAUUCUGUGUUAUUCUGUGAUUCUAGGUUGGCUGUAAGAAUGAACAUUUUGGCAUUUAAAGGCAUAUUUAAAAAAUCAAGUUUAACACCACACUGACUCUUGCCAACAUGAGGAGAAUGUGGAGGAGGGUUGAAAAACAAAGAGCAAUUGUAGGAGCCUGGAAGUUAAGGCAUAUGCAAGCACAAUAUGUGAGAAUGUAGAAUGCAUUUACUGCUUACAUUACACAGAAGUGAAUGUGGAUGUAUUGUAUGGCAUGCAUUCUCGGGGUCAGGGGAUGAACAAAGACUAAAACAGCUGUGCAAAGUGAGUGAUGUCAGACCCAGCCCUCUGAACUGGGCCGAGACCUGAGAUUUUGCCUCCAGGACACCCUGCGAGGGUUUCCCACCCCCAGGUUCGAGAUCCUGUCCAAUGCCAUUUCUGCCCAAGUUCUGACACUAUAGCCAAUGCCUCACAGCAAAGGCAUCCCAUUGAGGGAAAGGCAUAAACCUCCCAACUUGGAGUCAACUGUGAUUGGCAGGCCAAUUCGUUUCUGGCCUGGUGAACCAGCAACCGCAAAAGACUCAUUGAAUGAAAGUGAGGAGAGAAGGUGCAGAAAGGCCCAGUCACAUGGGCAACCAUUUCUUGUAUGGCCGCUUCUGCCAUGCCUCCACAACUUUCAUGAGACCACAGGCUUCUAUCCACUUCCGUGGGGAAAACAGGCGUAGUCCUACAGACUACAGAAAUUAUUCUUCCUUUGUAUUCUGUGACUAUGCUUACAGUCAUUUGACAAUGCCCUCAUCACUACAGAAUCGACAUCUGUAAUAUGAAGGCACUUACAGAAAGGUUCUCUGAGGCUCCCACCUGUUUGUGAAGCUCUCUUCCUCUGGAGAUUUGCCAAAGUCUGAAGCUCUUGGAAGCACUUUAAGUUGGCAUUGCACAGCCUGGGUUAAGCUGGCACAGGAGCAAUUUUAAUUUAACAUAAUACUUUAAUAUUUAAUAUUUUAAUGGGCAUCUCCAUUUUAUUGAACAGAUAGCAUUGUUACUUGCCCCAAGCCAUCCAGAUGAGUUGCGUUUUUAUCUAUUGUUGUUGUUGUUUAGUUGUUUAGUCAUGCCUGACUCUUCGUGACCCCAUGGACCAGAGCAUGCCAGGCACUCCUGUCUUCCAUUGCUUCCUGCAUUUUAUCUAUCUGUACAUAUAAUAAAAAUGUAAGUGUUAUCAUGCUGCAGUUUGCUUAGCCACAGACAGGUGGCACUGAAAACUACGGUGUGCUGAGAGACAGUGAAUGGGUGGCCCAGGUGAGCUACAGAGGGCCUGCCACAACAGACGACGGCAGCCCUCAGCUCAACUGGCUCCUUCACCUGACAUCCUUGGGGUCCCUCCCCAUAGGAUCUAGCCACCUGCCCGGCCAGCUCCACUACUGGCUGCCUUCCUCCUUCCAGGCUGAUUGAAGAUCAAUGGUUGCCACCCCUACAUUUUCCUGGGACUCCUGGAUUUACAGGGCUGCCUUCAGAUGGCUUGGGGGUCGGAUAAUUGCAUACCCUCCAACAUUUCUCUGAUGAAAGCAGGGACAUCCUAAGGAAAAGUGGGACAUUCCAAGAUCAAAUCAGAAACUGGGAUGGCUUCUGUAAAUCUGGGACUGUCCCUGGAAAAUAGGGACUCUUGGAAGGUCUGUAUUGUCACAGUAACAUAAUAGUGUUUACAGGUUUUGUAGUACUUUAAAAUUCUGCAAAACCUGCCAGCCCAGUGUGACAACUGGAUACACAAACCCCCCUUGUGUGUAUACAUCAUGACACCGACAUGUGUCAAUCGUGAGGCCUCAGUUAACAGCAGACUGUCUCCCAUUUGGAUUCCUGUGAAUGAGCAGAAGUCAGGAGGUCACAGCUAUGAAGAUUGCCAAAUUCACAUUUAUUUCUCCAGACCUUAAUGAAGCAAUCCACUGAUACUCUUGCAGUGCAGCAAAUGAUGUGCACUUGCCUCUCCAUCUGAAACCAAGUCAAUGAUUGAUGGUCGAAGAGAGAAACCAGGCCAGAAAAUUGGCAAGCUCCCCUACUGGAUAUGCUUUGAUUCAGCACAGCCAGCAGAAUACAAUCUUAGCUUGAUCAUUCCAGUGCUGAGCAAGUUAUGUCUCUGAACCAGGGGAUCAAGGGUCACUGCACAGUACAAAUAAAACCAGAGCAUAUUUCUGUAUGCCUGUGGAAGGACAGCAAACUUUCUACCACUUAGAAUGUGUUUGACACUUUGCAGAAAAAAAUAAAUGAGGGUCGGAAGCCUGAUGCAUAAGGUAACAGCCAUGUUGCAGUGUAGUCAUGGUGCAUGCUGAAUUCGUGGUCAAGUGAUCAUAGAAUUGUAGAAUUGGAAGGUGCGGGUUUGGACUAGAUGACCUUUGGGAUGCUCCCAAUUCUCCAAUUCUAUGAUUCGAAGAUGCACAGCAUUCUUGAAGGGUGGCUGCCUGGCCUCUGCUCAAAUACCUCCCACCUGAAGUGACUUCUCCUGCAGGGCCGUCUUAUCCAUAGGCACUAGGGGUGCAGGGCACCUGGGUGCUGGGCUCUCAGGGGUGCCAGGCCCAGAGUUCAGGGCCCAAGAGUUGAAUCUGGGGAAGAGCCAGCCCACUGGUCAGAAUGCUGUGGCGGGCGGCUCUGCUGCGGGCGGCUCUGCGCCGCGAGUUCGGGGGUGACCAAUCCAGCAAGACACUGAGGUGGCAGGCUGGCUCCACCCUCCUGUGUGACUGGGAAGCCGGGGGGGGACCGCCAGGCAGAUCUUUGCACCCCGGCGUCGCAUAUGCUUAAGACAGCCCUGUUCUCCUGCUUCAACUUAUCAUCACUUGGCUGCGAUCUUUGCCCACGGAGAACUAUGCCAAAGUCAAGUUUCUCUAUUUGCAGCGAACUCUACGGUAACAUGGCAGCUGUGGUUUGAAUGGGCUGCUGCUCUGUGAAGUUGGUGAACUCAUUGCGCAAAGCAGUCAGCUAAAAUGUGUAUGACACACACCCAAAGACCAGGAAAUUUCAGAGAGGCGAGACCCCGUGGGGGGGGGAUGUGAGGCCUGUUACUUGGAGGCCUAUGGUACUGAGGGGUAAUUAAAAAAAGGUUAUACAUUGUGCCGGCCUUUGGGAAUGUUAUGAAACAAAGGACAACCCUUUAGCGUUAUAGAAACUGAGUAGUCCUGGGUCACGGCACCUCUGUGCUGCUUGCUCUUUGUCAGGCUUAAUCAUUGUGUUAAAUAAGCUACGGUAAAAGACCUAUAACAAUUGUAGGGCUGGGGUGGUACAGAGAGUCUGACUCCUUCAAUCAUGAAUUCUGGGGGAGUUGCCUGUUGGUCUGCCUGCUCAACAGCUUAGCAUUUGGGGUGGCUCUUAGUCAUCCCAUGGGGAAAAGAAAUUCUUAGACAUACUGGAGCAUAUCUUCCCUGUCUACCUGAAUCACAGGUAGAUUUCCAGCCUUGCCCGAUAGCUAAGAAAAAAUGGUAUGUAAGUAUACAUUUUAUUUAUACUUACUUUUAUUUAUUUAUUUAUUACUACAUUUGCAGUACCACCCUUCAUCAGAGGAUCACGGGGUGGUUUUGUUAAGCGCAAUUGGUUUAAUUCACACAGAAAUGGUGAAUGCUUGUGUAGUGGUGAAAAAGGUUUAACAUGGGGAUUUUCCAUGGGGAUAUACAUGAGACCCUUUCUCAUAUAUAGUGGGGAGGUGUGUGUGUGUGUGUGUGUGUGUGUGUGUAAAAAUAUGAGGGUCUCCGAGCUCUAGCUGAGUUGAUAUUUAACUGAUUGCUGUUCUCUGCUAGGAAGCAUAUUUCCAUAAUUCACUUUAUAUUGAUGGGCUGUCCUCUUCAGUGCCUGAUACUGACUUUUUCUGGCCACCAUUGCAUAAGAAAAUGCAAUGCCAUUCAUGUAAUCCCAUCUCCCUUGCUCAAGGCAGCUCUUUUGCAUUCCAACGGCUUUGCCGAAUGUUUUUUUGACAGGUGCAUGGUUCUCUGUAAAGCCUCAAGUGGGCAUCCGCCUCAAGAAGCACACCGCAAUUCCACAUCCUGUUUGUUUUGCUCUGGGAAAAUAAUUAUCCUAUUUAAUUGGGAUUUUAUUACGCUUUCAGAAAGGAUAGGCGACACCAGCUACCCUUCUCCUCAUGCACUGUAUGAAAUUCUACUCCCUUGGAUUUGCUAAAAGCCGCAGCAUUUGAUAUCUGUACUGUACAAUCUGACCUUGAACUCGUCUUGAUUUAACAUAACUGGACACAUGAGACAUGUGUGAACUUUCAAGAAUCUACAGUCACCCACACCUUCUUUUCCUCCUCAAGGUUCUUUUCCCAUUUAUCCUUAUGUUUGUCCAGUAAACAUCUCGAUAGCAGC